GAAGCUGAGUACAAAGCAGUGGCUGAUGCGACGGCUGAGAUCAUUUGGAUUCAGUCCUUGUUGCGUGAGUUGAGGAUCUCUUCAGCUCAUCCUCCAGUACUUUGGUGUGACAACAUUGGUGCUACAUAUUUGUCGUCUAAUCCUGUGUUCCAUGCUCGGACGAAACAUAUUGAGGUUGACUAUCACUUUUUUCGAGAACGAGUUGCACAGAAGCUACUUAGCAUCAAGUUCAUCUCAUCAAAGGAUCAACUUGCUGACAUCUUCACGAAGCCUCUUCCUCAACCACAGUUUGUAGGCUGUAGGCGCAAUCUUAACUUAGUUUGUACUUCA
rnacentral:rRNA from 1 species